rnacentral:rRNA from 1 species
GGACGGCUAAAUACGUGCCAGCAGCCGCGGUAAUACGUAUGUCUCGAGCGUUACCCGGAAUAACUGGGUGUAAAGGGUUUGUAGGUUGAUGGUUAAGUCAGAUAUGAAAGACCGAAGCUUAACUUCGAGUUAGUAUUUGAAACUGGCUAUCUAGAAUCAGGGAGAGGUAAGCGGAAUUCUAAGUGUAGGGGUGCAAUCCGUAGAUACUUAGAGGAACACCAAAAGCGAAGGCAGCUUACUGGAACUGAAUUGACACUGAAAAACGAAAGCGUGGGGAGCGAAAAGGAUUAGAUACCCUUGUAGUCCACGCCCUAAACGAUGACAACUAAGUGUUGCGACUAGCUCGCAGUGCUGUAGCAAACGCGUUAAGUUGUCCACCUGAGGAGUACGGUCGCAAGAUUAAAACUCAAAGGAAUAGACGGGGACCCACACAAGCAGUGGAUCACGUGGUUUAAUUCGAUAAUAAACGGGGAACCUUACCCAGACUUGACAUCCUAGGAAUGCACCAGAGAUGGAGCAGUGCUCGCAAGAGAACCUAGAGACAGGUGCUGCAUGGUUGUCGUCAGCUCGUGCCUUGAGGUGUUCGGUUAAGUCCGUUAACGAGCGCAACCCAUGUCCUUAGUUAAACUGUCUAAGGAGACUGCCUUGGUUAACAAGGAGGAAGGUGUGGAUGACGUCAAAUCAGCAUGGCUUUUACGUCUGGGGCUACACACAUGAUACAAUGGUGUAAACAAAGAGUAGUGAAUCCGCGAGGAGGAACCAAUCUUGAAAAUACAUCUCAGUCCGGAUUGGAGUCUGCAACUCGACUCCAUGAAGUUGGAAUUGCUAGUAAUCGUAAAUCAGAUAUGUUACGGUGAAUAUGUUCCUGGGUCUUGUACUCACCGCCCGUCAAGGCAUGGGAGGUAGUAAUAUCGGAAGUCCCCCUAGUAAUAAGGGGGCCCAUGGUAGAACUACUGACUGGGCUUAAGUCGUAACAAGGUAUCCGUAGGUGAACCUGCGGAUG